CUACGGGGCGCAGCAGGCGCGCAAACUUUACAAUGCGAGCAAUCGUGAUAAGGAAACCCUGAGUGCCUGUCGAUGCAGGCUGUUCAUAUAUCUAAAUCAUAUGUGAAGAAAGGGCAGGGCAAGACCGGUGCCAGCCGCCGCGGUAAUACCGGCUGCUCGAGUGAUGGCCACUAUUACUGGGUUUAAAGCGUCCGUAGCUUGACUGUUAGGUCUCUUGGGAAAUCUUCGCGCUCAACGUGAAGGCGUCUAAGAGAUACCGGCAGUCUUGGAACUGGGAGAGGUAAACCGUACUUCGGGGGUAGGAGUGAAAUCUUGUAAUCCUCGAGGGACGACCUAUGGCGAAGGCAGUUUACCAGAACAGCUUCGACAGUGAGGGACGAAAGCUGGGGGAGCAAACGGGAUUAGAUACCCCGGUAGUCCCAGCCGUAAACAAUGUGCGUUAGGUGUGUCGGUAACCACGUGUUACUGAUGCGCCGAAGAGAAAUCGUGAAACGCACCACCUGGGAAGUACGGUCGCAAGGCUGAAACUUAAAGGAAUUGGCGGGGGAGCACCACAACAGGUGGAGCCUGCGGUUUAA
rnacentral:rRNA from 1 species